rnacentral:rRNA from 1 species
GGCUAACGCCUGGGGGCGCGCUUAAACCUGGCAGUCCAGCGAAGAGACUUUAUCAGACCCCUUCGGGGCGAAGAUAAAUGGAAUUAUGGGCGGACGGGUGAUUACCACGGGAGUAACCGGCCUUAGACAUGGGAAUAGCCUCGGGAACCCGGAAUUAUUCCCUAUUAUGAUCCUAUUGACACCUGUCUUAUCGAUCAAAAGUCCGGUGGGCUAAAAUGGACUCCCGUCCCUUUAGCUAGUUGGGAGAGUAAAAGCCUACCAAGGCGACAAUGGGUAGCCGGUCUGAAAAGGGGAACGGCCCCUUUGGAACUGAAAAACGGUCCAAACUCCUACGGGAGGCAGCAGGGGGGAAUAUUGCACAAGGGAGGGAACUCUGAUGCACCGACCCCCCGGGAACGAAAAGCGCUUUCGAGGCAUAAAGCUCUUUUAUAUGGGAAGAUUGUGACGGCUCCAUAAGAAAAGGCCCCGGCUAUCUACGUGCCACCAGCCGCGGUUAUACAUAGGGCGCUAGCGUUGUCCGGACUCUCUGGGCGUAGGGGGCUCGCAGGCGGAAAUGCAUGUCAGAUGUAAAAGGCAUUAUCUUAUCUACUGUAAGCUUCUGAAACUGCAUAUCUUGAGAAGAGUAAAGGUAAGUGGAAUUUUUAGUGUAGCGGUGAAAUGCGCAGAUAUUAAAAGGAAUACCGGUGGCGAAGGCGACUUACUGGGCUCAUUCUGACGCUGAGGAACGAAAGCGUGGGUAGCAAACAGGAUUAGAUACCCUGGUAGUCCACGCUGUAAACGAUGAGUGCUAGGUGUCUGCAAAUGUCCUGGCCGCCGCUAACACAAUAUUCACUCCUCCUGCGGAGUACGUGCCCCAGCAUGAUACUCCUAGGAAUUGACGGCGACCCGCCCCAGCAGCGGAGCAUGUGGUUUAUUUCUUACCAACGCCAAGAACCUUACCACGGCUUGACGUACUGAUGACGAACUUCUAGAUAAUUAUACUUCUUCUCAACCCACAAUACGAGUGGUGCAUGGGUGUCGUCGGCUCCUGUCCUGAGAUGUUGGGUUAAGUCCCGCAACGAGCGCAACCCCUAUCGUUAGUUGCCAGCAUAUAAGAUGGGAACUCUAACGAGACUGCCGAUGACAAAUCGGAGGAAGGUGGGGAUGACGUCAAAUCAUCAUGCCCUAUAUGCCCUGGGCUACACACGUGCUACAAUGGCAGGUACAAAGGGAAGCAACAGAGUGAUGUCAAGCAAACCUCAAAAAGCCUUUCCCAGUUCGGAUUGCACUCUGCAACUCGAGUACAUGAAGAUGGAGUUGCUAGUAAUCGCAGAUCAGAAUGCCGCGGUGAAUGCGUUCCCGGGUCU